rnacentral:lncRNA from 1 species
CGAAAGUCGGAAACGAGGCUAAGAUUGGGCGAGCACUCCAUAUCCAGGUAGGGUGAGCUGUCCCUUCCUUGUUAGAGGCUUUUCUAUAUGUGGAAUGCUCUAGUAUAUUAAUAUGUUGCCUGCAAGUACGUUUUUGGUUGUUCAUUAGUCGAUGCCUCGUGAUACAUAUGUUUUCAGAACUGAUAAUGGCUAAUUGCGAAAACCGAGGCUAGACUUGCAUGUUGAGAUACUGUACCCUUGUAUGUUUAUACUUGUGACCUGAAAGUGAAUGGGACCUAGACGCUUAGAUUCCUAGGGAUCCCACGGUGUCGAUAACCGUGAACCUCCGGAGGGGGCCGUGCUCCUAUGUUUGUCGAGGAAAGAUGGUAUAGACAGUGAACCAGUCAUAGGAGACUCAGGGCCAGGAAAUGGACACUUUCGCUACUUGUAGUCGGAAGUACUACAGAGUAGUUGGCCGGUUCUCGAAUUCAGGACGAACCAGGUCGGUCACUGAUUUGUUUUAUAUUAGCCGGCAGGUAAGUAUCUCGGAGCUCC